GCUGUAAAACUUUCUUCAAUUGCCCAAGUAGAGGUUUUCAAAAAUGUGUUGUAGUUCUUUUAUUUCAAAAGAAACACAAACAAAUAUAGUAUUUCACAUGGACUUUUUAAGAACCUCUCUUUAUAUGCUGAUAAUAUAGCUAGCUGCAGCGUGGGAUGGAGAAAAAAUUUCUAUAAGCUAUGGGAAUUGUGUGUUUGUCUGAAUGGGUGUGAGUUUGAGAUUUGAUAAUUUGCAAGCAUUUUUUCAUUCUGGUACUUUGUAUUUUGAGUAAGGCAAUGUAUUCCUCUGGCCUUCUCCCCUCUGCUCUCAGUGCCCAAACACAGGGUUCAGUUUUAGGUUUGAAUGCUUCUAUGUCAGUGGAAUAUAUAAGUAAUCUUCCCCCCUGCUGCUUCCUAAUUUUGUCUCCUGGUGGCCUUGCAGAGCUCUCCAGUCCCAGCACAAGAGGGUGGCAGCAGCACAGCCCAGCAGCUCGGAGUCAGGGAGCACCAGGGAGUGCCACAGCUCCUCAGUGUGUGACAGAGAGAUCAGCUGCAGUGACAAUGAGGAGGACAACCUUCCAAGGGUGCUGGACCUGCCAGUGCGUGAGGUGAAUUCAGAGACCAUGGAGAGGCUGCUUCCACAGCCCCUUGCCCACUGCAGUGCCGUGUCUUAGGAAGGAAGCAGAUGUGGUACUCUGUUACCAAAUUCUGCCAGAUUUGCCCUGGAAAUACUGAUUUGUAAGACCCCUCUCACUGCAAUGAAGGCUUAGGUAUUUGCCACUGACUGGUUUAUGGUUUUGUAUUCCUCACAUAUCCAUCCAUGGUGCUCAAGAAGCAAAUUUGUUGCUGCUUAGUUUAGAGUCAUUUCUUCACAGGCCAAAGGCCAUACUUGAUGACCUCUGGGCAAGAGUUCCCGGGCUCUGUUGAGCUGUGCUAGGACAGAAAGAGUCACAAAAGGCACCAGUCUUGAAUCCUUCUUUUCUCUUUUGUUGGCAGCCUGAGCCAUCAGCUGCUAAAAAGUGGCGCCUUGACAACCUGGUGACCCAGAGAAAGCAAGGAUUGAUGCCAAGAGAGGGUCCCAGGGAAAUUGCCCAUGGGAAUGGACGUGAGGAGGGUGCAAAGCAGGAGCAGGGCAUCAGCAGCACUUCCUGCCAGCACCACUCCAAGGCAAGGGAGCCUCCUCACAAGAGCUGUGGCCAAGUGGCCGAGGACACUCAAAAGACCUCUGGCCAAACCACCAAGCAUUUUCACAAGACCUCUGGCCAAGUGACUCAGGCUCCUCUGGGAUCUCACGUUACGAGCACACACAGCUCUCUGAAGCCUCUUGUGCACACCAAGGAGGCCUUGCCCAGGAAGACUGUGGGUAUCAAAAGGCCCAGCAAGCCCCUGGUGCAUGACAAAUGGAAAAAAGUCCUGAAACUGGAGAGUGAGCCCGGUCCUUUGGAGGUCAGAGACCAGUCUUGCAAGCACCAGCCCCGAGUCAAGAAAACAGAGGAGCCAAAAUCCACCACUAAAAAAGCCCUGCAGCCGGCACUUCACAAGCCCUCUGAGGAGAGAAAGGACAAGGGCUCCCAGCAGGCCAAGGCCAAAGGCUUUUUGGAUGCCAGGCUCCUGAGACAUGCUCAGGAAUGUGAUGCCCUCAUCCCCAGUAGCCACAGGCCUGGGGAAUGGCACAGGGAGAAAGUGCCCUUGCCUCCUGGGGAGAAGAAGUUGUUCUUGCCUUUGAGGAAGGCAGACUUGAAGAGGAAAGCCAUGAGGAGUCCUGAGGAGUCCCCUGGAAAGAAGAAGAGAGAAGACAAGGGGGAUACUCCCAGGAAGAAAAGACAAUGAGACAAAACAUUCCCAACAAAAUACUUCCAGAUUUCAGCCCACAAAGGCUCCAAUCAACUGAAAGCCUCAGAAGACUCAUUCUAAAUGGAGAGGGCAAAUGUGUUGCUGCCGCCACUGCCAGCCAUGACUGCUGCACAAUGUGCACCAAAUUUGACCACAAUGACCCAAAAGAGACCCAGAGCUGCGACUGACAACCUGGAGCUGCCUGCCGUGGAUAACCCUGCCAGGAAGCAGGAUGGAUUCUUCGCCAAGCACAGGAAAGUGGAGGAAGACCCCGAGGAGCAAACCCAGCCAUCACCAUUGGUAUCCAGGAGGGCUGGUGGGAGUAUUCCUGCAACCCAGGCGUGCUGUGUGAUGCACUGCAGAAACAUCCUCUCAGAUAAGUGACCAUUUCUGACUGUAGGCAACUGCAACUAAAAGGAGUGUGUGUAUAAAAAGGAGUGUGUUUAUAAAAAGAAAAGGACUGGGCCUUAGGUGGUAUAUCAUUCGGAGAAAAUUGCUGCAUUUAUGGGUUAAAAAUUAGAAUUUACUGGCUGUUUAUAAAAAUUUGGCAGUUUAAUGAUGGCUCGGGGUGUGGGCCCUAUGAUAUUUGGGGAUGAGGGAGCAUGUGUCUCUGUUCUGUCUUAGGCCAGACUGUGCACAGUGCAUUAGCUGCCUUCUAACUGCUUGCUUUUUCCUGAUCAUUUUCCUGCUUCCAGCCCUCACUGCACUCCCAGCUAUUGAGCAAGGAAAUCUGCUGAUGAAUUUCUCUUUGCUUGGGAGAAGUUGAA